AGCGAACGCUGGCGGCAGGCUUAACACAUGCAAGUCGAGCGGGCACUUUCGGGUGUCAGCGGCGGACGGGUGAGUAACGCGUGGGAACGUGCCCUCUGGUUCGGAAUAACUCAGGGAAACUUGAGCUAAUACCGGAUACGCCCUUUUGGGGAAAGGCUUGCUGCCGGAGGAUCGGCCCGCGUCUGAUUAGCUAGUUGGUGAGGUAACGGCUCACCAAGGCGACGAUCAGUAGCUGGUCUGGGAGGAUGAUCAGCCACACUGGGACUGAGACACGGCCCAGACUCCUACGGGAGGCAGCAGUGGGGAAUAUUGGACAAUGGGCGCAAGCCUGAUCCAGCCAUGCCGCGUGAGUGAUGAAGGCCUUAGGGUUGUAAAGCUCUUUUAUCCGGGACGAUAAUGACGGUACCGGAGGAAUAAGCCCCGGCUAACUUCGUG
rnacentral:rRNA from 1 species